GAACCAGCAACAGGAUGGAGAAACCCUGGAGAGAGGAGUCAGGAGUUCCACCUGCUCUGUCAGCCAGCGACUGGUAAUGACCUUGGACAAGCCUGCACCUCACUUCAUUUGUCCCUAAAGGAGAAAUAAAAAUACGCAUCUAUGUUCUUCUCGGGUCUCUGCUCGGUUGCUGAAGGUAAAGGUCCUGAGAAAAACCAGCAUCGACCGCAGCUGUCCUCAGGGAUACGUGUACACUCGAGAUAAGUGGUAAAUAACACCGAGCAAAGAAGAAAGCCAGGGAGGAGGCUGACAGCAGGGGUGAGAGCGAUUCAGGCCGUGGUGUCAGACACAGAGUGACGCUUUUGUCUUGGCCCAGGAGGGAGGCAGACAGAUGAGAUCCAGCGACUCCGCGCAUAUUGGGGGUGCUCAGGAGGCUGUCUGGUUCCUCUGGAAAACCUUCUGCCAGGGAUGGGGGCGGGAGACAGCCAGGCGGCUUUCGGGCUUUCCUGGCCGGGCU